UUUUUUUUUUUUUUUUUUUAAUGAUACGUCACAGAGAGAGAGAGAGGGGCAGAGACACAGGCAGAGGGAGAUGCAGGCUCCAUGCACCGGGAGCCCGACGUGGAAUUCGAUCCCGAGUCUCCAGGAUCGCGCCCUGGGCCAAGGGCAGGCGCUAAACCGCUGUGCCACCCAGGGAUCCCAUGAAUAAAAUUCUAUUUUAGAAUAAUUUAAGGUAAAGAAUCUUACUUUAAUGAUUCAGUUAAUAGAUAAAUGCAUACUUAAAUAUAAUAAAACAUGCUGUUAUAAUUAUCAAUUUUGAAAAUAAUCUAUGAUGUGAAAAAAAUCAAUAUUCACAAGGAUAAACAUGUUUACUCUGCUAUUGGAAAAGACUUACUGUAAAAUUAUUAUGCUGUAGGAAACCCAUCUCUAUCACAGACUUCUAUCUGGGUAGUCAUACAGAUCCUAUGAACACAGGAACCCAAUUCUAUUAAUAAGAGACACACUAGGGGGAUCCCUGGGAGGCGCAGCGGUUUAGCGCCUGCCUUUGGCCCAGGGCGCGAUCCUGGAGACCCGGAUCGGGUCCCACGUCGGGCUCCUGGUGCAUGGAGCCUGCUUGUGUCUCUGCCUCUCUCUCUUUCUGUGUGACUAUCAUAAAUAAAUAAAAAUUUAAAAAAGAGAGACACGUUAGAACCUCUUCAGGUUAGAAACAAACCUCACAAAGAUUUUUGUUUGAAUUAGAUAUUAGUUGAUUAUAAGUAUUAUCACUUAUAAUAGAGGAAACUCGACUUCUUGGCUUCAGAGACUUAUCAAAAUAAAAAGCCCCUCUUAGCUAAAAUUUUUCAUAUAAUACUUUCAGGGAUAGUCUACCUUAGGUAAAUGCACUUUACAGAUUUUACAGCAGGGGCAAAAAAGCUCAUUUUAAAGAUCUACACUCAAAAAAGAAAAUUAGCAUUACUCCUAAAUUAUAGAUGUUCAUAGCUUGUGAUUUCUUCAUUGAUUCAGAUAUUAUGAAAUGGCGUUUUCAAGUUGGCAGAAAGGGUAACGGGAAGGUGGAUCUCAUUUAUGCUGCUUCAAAAUAUUUAGAGCAUUCGUAAUUUCUCUCCCCCCCCUUUCUCUCUCUCUCACAGACACACACACACACACAAUUAUCUCCUAUAAGUAUAAAUAUCCAGCACAAUAGGAGUAUCAACAGAAUAAUAAUUACCGUAUCUUUUAAAGUUGCUAUAUAUUUUGGAAUAAUAAUAGGUUUUCCUCAGUCUCCUCAGACUUUCACCAUCCUCCAUCUUAUUCCAUUCAUUUUACAAUAGUGCAGAUUAUUGUCCAUUCCAGAGUACUUAGCAAGAAUGUAGGAAACCAGAAGAAUUUCUAAGUCAAAUUCUUAAUGAUAACAUUGUGGUUUCUUUUGACACUUUACUUAUGAGCAAAAUGCUCGUGAUCUUACUCUAAGCACACAAUGGAGACUUAUUGAUUUAACUUAAAAAUAGAUUGACCUCUUUGAAUACAGCAGAAGAAAUAAAGCACCUCUUACUCUUAAGUUUAUUUUGAGAUAACAAGGUAUUCAUAAUGACAUUAUCUUUCUUUGUAGCGCACCAGAUUGGAAUAAGAUGACGUAGUUGAAAUGAAUUCAUAUUCUGGGGUGCAUUCUAUUAAAUAUAGUAUAUUUGAAUUUUGUAAUAAUUAUACAUUGAAAUAAACUCACUAAUCAGUGAAUGAUUAUAACAAGUAACAAUACAUUUCAAAUAAGCAUGCUUAGCUUAUUUAUUUGACUCUGAAAUCAAAAUUUCGAGACAGACUUCCUUGAUUUAUGAUGGGGUUAUAUCCUGAUUAACCUAUCAUAAAUUAAAAAUGUCAUAAGUUGAAACGCACUUGUACACCUAACCUACUGACCACUAUAGCUUAGUUUUAGCCCAACUUAAAUGUGCCCAGACCACUUACGUUAGUCUAUAGUUGGAUAAAAUCCUUUAAUAAUGUUGAUUGUCUCAUGUAAUUUAUUGAAUACUGUACUGAAAGUGAAAUAGAUUGGCCAUGCGGCUUAAGAAUGGUUGUCAGUGUAUCAGUUGUUUACUCUUGUGAUGGCAUUACAGACCAGGAGCUGUGGCUCACUGCUACUCCCUGGCAUUAGGGGAGAGGACUGUGCUACAUAUUAUCAGCCUGGGGAAAGAUUCAAAUUCAAAAUUUGAAGUAUGGUUUUUAUUCAAUGUGUAUAGCGUUCACACGAUUGCGCGUAGGGUAUCAUAUGCAUAUAAUGAAUUCUGAGAUAAUUAGGGUUUUAAUAUUACCAUAUUCUUCUGUUGCAGACACAAAUUAUGGUUAUUAUGGGUAAAAAAAAAAGGAGAUCUUUGAAUGAGAAGCCAUUUGAUUAAAUUCCAAGUUUUUCUGUAUUUAUUAAUCAUGGCUAAUCUCAUAUGCUGUUCUCAAGAUUAUAAUUAGGGAUAUGCUGGACAAAAAUGGAGUGGGAUGGUCUGAAGUAAAUGCAAACAAUUCUUAUGGGCAAAAUUUCAGAUAGAAUGUGUGAGAAUACACGUCAGUUUAUGAUAGUGCAGAUAGAUAUAAAUUAUGAUAUAAUUAUGCUAUUAAAUAAAUGAAAUGAGGCAUCAGGGACGACAUGCUACAAACACAACUGCAAGGCAAUCAGCUGUCCCACCUUCACAAACAGAUUUGAGGAAUGACAGGAAAUUUUUGAUUGCCGAUGUUUUCAACCUUGCCAAAAAAGGAAGAUACAAAUGUAUAGAAACUUCCUUGCAAGUUAAUGAGGAAAAAUGGUCCAUUUUCAUUUCUCUUCUAUCAGAUUCUCUCGUUUUGAGAUGUGGUUUUCUAGAGACGAUGAUGGUAAUGACAGAAGUUUAUAGAACUCUUUCAAUUUUCACUUAUUCUAGUAAAUUCCUCCUUCUAUAUUGUUCUUACUUGUGCUUAUGUUCAACUGUGAAAGGUCAUGUGAAGGUUAGAAAUUAUUUGCUCAAUAAAAUAAACUUUUCCUAUUUUUCCCCAAUUGUUUCUUUAAGAAUACCAGCCAUUGCUACUCCUUUCCAUUUGUCACUGCCCUGAUCACACUGUAGACUCAUUUUAUAAUCCCAAAUACUGUUGAAGUCUGUUGUAUUAAAAAUAGAUUUAAUCUCAACCCGUAGAAUGCAGAGGUCUCAAUGGUUACCAUAUGUCUUUGCAGUGUCAAUUCAUACAUGUAUUUACACAUAUCAACCUAGAACAAUUAGCUACAAUUGGGUUGUUAGAUCAUUGGCUUGAAUGAAUCCCUGGAAUGUCUAGUAUUUAAUCUUUCUUCCCCACUUCUAAUUUGGUUUUUAUCUAAAGUAAUAACUCCAAAUUCAUACCCUGAGUAGAAGAAAGUAAAACAAUACAUUCUCAAUCCCAAAUGCAGUUAUUGAUUCUUUUUUAAAAAAUAUUUUAUUUAGGGGAUCCCUGGGUGGAUCAGCGGUUUGGUGCCUGCCUUUGGCCCAGGGCAUGAUCCUGGAGUCCCAGGAUCGAGUCCCGCGUUGGGUGCCAGCCAUGGAGCCUGCUUCUCCCUCUGCCUGUGUCUCUGCCUCUCUCUCUCUGUCUCUCAUGAAUGAAUGAAUGAAUGAAUGAAUAAAUAAAUAAAUAAAUCUUUUUUUUUAAUAAAUAAAUCUUUAAAAAACAUUUUAUUUAUUUAUUCAUGAGAGAGAGAGAGAGAGAGAGAGAGGCAGAGACACAGAGGGAGAAGCAGGUUUCAUGCAGGAAGCCUGAUGUGGGACUCGAUCCCAGAGUCCUGGGAUAAUGCCUUGAGCCAAAGGCAGACGCUCAACCACUGAGCCACCCAAGCGUCCCGAGUUAUUGAUUCUUUUACUAGCGCCUGUCUCCCAGUUUCAUCUUGACCAACUCAGUUGUGAAUGUUUUUGCUAUAUAAUCAAUUGCUCUAAUCUAGGACUCAUGCUUGUUGUCUCUUUUUCUCUCACCCUCUACAUUCAAUCAAUUAUUAAGUCCUUUUGAUUCUGCCUCCAAUAGAUUGCAAAUCCACGUCAGUGGUCCCAUCCUGGUCUAGGACAUCAUAUCUUUCUCUCUUGGAAAUCUUCAAGUGUCUCCUCCUAAAUGCUCUUUCCACUUCUAGUCUUACUUCCCACUAAUUCAUUCUCCAUAAAGCACUUAUCUUAAAACAUAAAUGCAAUUACCAUACACUUUUGCUUAAAAGCAUCCAGUGGCUUCCAAUGGCAUUUACAAUGAAAUCCAAUACACUUGUUAUGGACUACAAAGCUUACUUCAUUUCAAGCCCCUCUCCUUUUUACGUACUAUGCCCCUGCUACACUAACAUUCUUUUAUUUCUUUGGACAUUCCAAGCUCCUCCUUAAUUCAGAAUCUAGAAGUCCCAUUAUACUGUCUUUCUAUCUCCAUUUCUUCAUGUAGUGAACUCAUCUUUCAUGUAAAGUUAUUAGAUUAAUUAUCAAUUUCUGUAUUCAUUAUUCUACAUUUGAGAAUAUUUUCCUUCAUGACAUUUUUCAAAGGUGAGAUUUAUUUUGCACGUUUAAUUCUUUUUUCCCCAUUAAACUGUGAAAUAAGUAAGAUAAAAACUUUGUCAGCUCUGCCAUUGUGAGAUAAGUUAGACAUUUUCUUAGCACAGAGUGAAUUCUUCCUAAAUUUUUUAAUGGAAAGAAGGAAAGAGAGAGAAAAGAAAGGAUGGAGAGAGAGAUGGUUGGAAAAGGAAUGUGUUUGAUAAACAAAUGUUUGAUUUAGCAAAAGAAACCCAGUAAUCUGUCUAGCUCAUAUACAAUUGUUUUUCUAGAUAGCAAAAAUUUACAGGUAUCUGCUACUGCCAGAUGUUGUGCCAGGAACUAGAAAAUAUUUCUGUUUUUCAUAGGGGAACUCUAACGUUACUUUAAGAGUUCAGUGAAGUAAAUAUACCACUGAAUAGGUCAACAGAAAUAAAAGAAAAAAUAGACUAUUUCGUGUGUCCAAUCAUUUUAUCCUGAAGUCCAUUCUUCAUCUAUGUACCAAAGCUUUUUUGUUAUAUAUUUUUUUCAGACUUUAUCUCUUUUUGGUCUUUUUAAAGGGUGUUCGUGCUCUCAGAUUAUAAUUUUAUUGUAUUAUUCAAUCUUUUAAUUUUGAGUUCAGACUAUGCAUAAUAAAACAAUGUACAUGUGUAUAAUUCUUUAGUUUAUACCACUUUCCUUCAUGUAGCAUGUUAAUUACACAUCUUUGAACUCUUUUGCCCCCAAGCGCUGAAAUCUCUGUGAAAAACAAGUCAAGUGCCAGUAUUUAACUGGCAUCAAUUACUUGUGUCUGUGAUAUGUCUCAACCGCAUUGUUCCCUUUAACUAUCAUUUACCUUCAGGGAUACCUUCAUAAAUCAAAUCCUGAAGUAUUUGUGUAAAUCAUGCUGUAUUUCACAGGUAAACAUUAAUAAACUUGUUAUUUAACUAUUUGAAAUGGCUAGUGGAGGAUCAAACCUAUCAAUGCUACAUACAGUCUUUGUACCAAUCAUCAAGAUACCUUUCUGGUUUCACCACUGCUCCCCCUGCUCUAAUUACCCGACAUAGAUCAGUAACUUAGUAAAAGUGAAAAUCACCUAAUUAGCUUUUAAUUAGCACACACUCCAUAUUUCAUCAUCUUUGGCUAUCUAAAAUAGACAAGCAGAUCUAAAAGAAGAAAAAAAAAAAGCUCUUUCUUAAAAAAAACAGAUACAAACACCACACUCUCCAAAUAUAUGAAAGUAAAUAAAAUACCAUUUUUAGCCUUAAGGAUUUUAACCAAUAAGCCCUAUAUUUUUCUCAUCAGAUUUUUCACUAUUAUAAAGAUUUUUAAAUGAUUGCUAAUUAUUAAAAACAACCUAUUAUAUAUAUGGUUUCUUUCAUACUUCCAUUGCUUAGGAGUUACUCCGAAGUUAAUGAUGGCUUGUAUUAUGGACCUAGAGAUUUUUUUUUUAAAUGGUCAAAAUUGGGUACGUGAAUAUGAAAUUAUCGAACUUUCCAUUUUAAGUGAUUAUCCAAUUAUGUUUCAUUACGUUUCUUAAGUAUUUCAACUAUUCUGGAGACAGUUGAAGGUAUUUAAAUCAAGAUGAAUACUUCUUCACAUGCAAUUCAAACCAUGCAUAAUAGAAAACAUGCAAUUCAAACCAUGCACAAUAGAACAAAACAGUCUGUGGCAAGCAUAUACACAUUUGCAUAAUUGACUCCGAAUCUUAAGGAAGACUUAAUACUGAUUUUUACACUAUUAUUCCUAUCAAGCACAAAACAGGUAUGCGAUGAACUUCUGUGUCAUGGAAAACUUUAUACAUAUACAUGUCUAUACAUAAAUCUCAAGGCAAAUAAAAUCUCAAUGUAGUACAUAAUAUUCUGUAGUUAAUCCUUUAGACUAUAUUUUAUCAUGGCUGUUAUGUGUUUAUGCAAUUUAUUAAACAUGACAUUUUGGAGACAACUAAGUACAUUUUAUUAAUUUUAUUUGAAUGCUAAGACUAAAUUCUGAGUUUUUUUUAAUGAUUCUGUAGAUUAUUUAUUUUGCAGGCUUCACUUAAUAUAUGCUGGAAAUAAAUUAUCAGAAUACAUUAAGAGUUAAAGUCAAAUUUUGAUCUUGUUAUGCUGCUGAAUGUUCAUUUCAAAAUUGUAACUGAUGGCCACAUAACUGAUGGUGGUGUGUGACACAGAGUAGACAAUACAUAAAUACGUAUCUAAAUUUUAUAAAAUCCUACAAAUUGCUUAUAAGUAGCCACAUUAAACUAUUAAACAAACAUCAGUCUUUUCAUAUUUAUUUAUGAAUUUUAUGAUACAGUUAAAACAUACACAGAGUAAUUAAAUUACUAUUCUAAUGAAAAGCUAUCCAGCAAACUCUCUUAAAUACAAGGUAAUAACAAUAUCCUUACAAUUUAACAAUAGAAUGAUAUCCUUAAAACCUGAAGAAGAAUAAGUAUAAAAGGUUAAGCAACAAAGCUUUUAGAGAAACCAUAGGAAAAUAUCUUAGCAACCAUGGCAAAGGCAAAGAUUUCUCUCUUUUUUAAAUAUUUCUUAAAUAGGAAUAGGACACAAGAAGCCCUAAUCAGACAAGAAAUAAACCUAAUUGAGAAUUUGAAUAUCUAUCCAAAGACACCUCUAGGAGAGUACUAAAGAAAAAUCCAACAAAUGUUUUAAUAUAUAGCAGAAAUAUCCAGUGGUGUGCCAGAAAAUGUUUAGCAACUAACUUUCCUGUUUUUUUUUUUUUUGUCUCUUUGUUUGUUUUAGUGUUUCCCAGUGUGUAUGUGGUGUAAAACCUUCUACCAAGACAUAUUUUCAAACUACCAAGCAGCUCUCAAAAUUCCUGACACUUUAACAGUUGGCUCUUGUGAAUCAGCCAGCUCCAUCACAGAGGAU
rnacentral:lncRNA from 1 species